CCUGAGCCGCAUUCAUCAGCUCCACGGUGAUGAUGGGAGGAACUGCUGCUCAGCUGCUGGUCCRGAGGGGCCGGGAGCCGCGCAGACAUCAUUGGUUGAGCUCUGAAGAUGAAUCAAUUCCCCAGGCGACCUCCGCGUACCUCCUCCUGCUGCCUCUCCUUGCUGAAAGCAACAAAACCCCUCCAAAAAACAAAAGACAUCAGUGCAUCAGAAUUCAUGGGGYGGAUGACAGCGUUUGAAUUGGAAAUCACCGAGGUGGUCUGGUUUCUAUUCGUUAUCAGAGCUUUAUUCAAGCAACAGGAAUCUGCUAAGGUUUGGUGCAAUUCCCCAAAUAUUUAUCAAGUGCCUUCUCYUUGUUCAGCCACGUGCUGGAUCUGGAGAUGUGAUCAACCAUUCUAUGGGGGGGGGGGRAGCCUUGACCUCCAAGUCCUGGCUCUACUCCUUGCCACCUGGGUGACCUUGGGCAAGUCACCUCCCUUCUCUGUGCUUCAAUUUUCAUGAUAAGAAAAUGUGAAGUUUUUUUUUUAUUAACAGCCACUGAAAUACCAUGUGUAGUUAUUGUUUUAUUAGGAACAAUAAGAAGACACGGCCCUGCUCACGGGGCAGUCAUGGUUCAGUAAGCGAAUAGCUAAGAUCCCGGGAGCUGGAGGUGGGGAGGGCAGCAUGCAGGAGAAGCUGUGGCUUGGGAGCARGGGAUAUCCUUGAAUAGGUAAUGACUUCCUAGCAUAGUGGUGACCCUGCCCAGCCCUUCAGAAGGGAGGUGCAUAGCAUGUGGAAUUUGGAGAAGCCCCUGCUAGGUUUUGGGGGAUGUGGAUCUCAUCUGUACUAGCCCUCUUACUCAGCUACUGCCUCAAAUUCUCCUGUUUUUGGUAUUUUGGGGUGGGGUUCAGGAGGCAAAGGGCUGCAGUGGCAGUGGUUUGGUUCUCUGGAGGGUUUAUGAUGAGAUGGCUGCAGAAGCGAGGUGAGGGGAAAAUUCUGAGGAGGAGGGCAAGGCUCGGGUAGCUUGAGAGCAGCUCUCACACUCACCUCCCAUUUUCCAUGUCCAGUGCUGAGCCUCCACUGGCUCAAGAGUUUGAGCAAGACAGGAGGCAGCGUGGUUCUGAGUUUCAGUGGUGAUCAGAAAAGUGGGGUGUCUGGUUCUCAGGCUGCAUGGGCAAGAUUGGAUUGGGCGAGGGGUGGGGAAGGCAGGUGGGAGAUGCAAAAGAUACUCAGGCAGUUGGGACAAUUGAGCAGGUCAGAGGGACUAACUUUUUGAUGUAGGAAAGGGUCUUUAGAUCUGCCAGGCUGGAUGCAGUACCCAUCAGGUCCCUGGUCCUAAAGCCAUUGCCUUCUAUGUUCCCUAGUUCCUCCCUUGCCCCUUCAUCUUCAGUCACCACCCAUUUCUACCCUGUCAAGUGCUCUGUGAGUGUGGUCCCUAUGGAUGGAAGCAUAGAAUACACUCAUUCACUGGCUCCUGGCUGAGUUCAGCCAGUGUGAGGUGUUGCACUUAAUAAUUCUGCAC
rnacentral:lncRNA from 1 species